rnacentral:lncRNA from 1 species
GCAGGUACUGCUCCUUGGGCACGAGCUCCCUUCUGCCAGCUUCCCACCUUCCAGGCAAUCCUGGCAGAAGGAGGCAAGGCUGCUGGUGGAGGCAAUCCUGGCAGAAGGAGGUGAAGUGCGGGAAGCAGGCUGGGAUCUCCCUGUUCUUGUCUCACCCCGUGCACCCCACACUCACACCUCUCUGCUGAACAAUGCCUGGCCGGGCCUUUUGCAAACAGCCCACACAAACGUGUCCCUGCCCGGGCACAGCUCCUUGGCCUCUGCUGUGCCUCAUCCAUCUUCCAUGUUCCCCUGGUUCCUAGCAGCACUUCCCCGUGCUGAGUGACUGACAUCACAGGCAGCCAGACACUCCCCACGGGGAAAAUGAGCUGACUGCACGGAAUUUGGCCAUGCCCUCACCAGAGCUUUAUUAGUAAUGGUGUUUUCUUCCCUUUGAGCCCCGCUCUGCAGAAUCCAGCUCACACAUCCUGAAACCCACCCCACUGCAGGAGGCUGAAACACAAAGUGAGGUUCUCGGAGCUCCAGCUGACCAGAGAUCCCAUGCAAGGACCUCUCAGGCAGGGUUACUGCUUUCUUUCAGAGCUCUUUAUGAAGUCGGUCAGGAUUUGUAUUUUCCUGUGCACAUGUUUAAAGGAAAGUCUGGAAGGAGGCAGAGGAAGAUCUCUUGCACAGCUGAACACGACUGUGAGCAGAGGCAUGAGGGAGCUGACACACAUGAAAGUGGGAGCAGUAAGACACUAAACCAGACGGGCAGAUGGAGUUGCCUGAGCCCACGUUUCAAGCACCCUGUGUGGCAAACACUUAUCUCUCUCUCUCUCAGGAUUUUUCAUAAAGGUGCACAGAGAGAAAUGUGCUUGCCACAACCCGGGGUUUUAUUUGUGUUAGAAAGAACCGUGUUGAGAAGCAAGCACAAGUGGGUUUCACACCAGGUCUUCAAAAUGGCUGGGGCUUGGAGCACUGCAGAGGGCAGCGAUGGCACAUCAUGGAUGUCACAGCUGGGACACCUGGAACACAAAGCCAGGAGAUAGCAGCCCCUCAGCAAAUGCCAAUGACCACGGUUCCCUCACUCCUGGUGCAGAUGUGCCCAUUACUUCAGCUGAGGAAUGGCUUUAUGCAUUUUUAUUCCAGUUUGUUUUUUAUGGUCUUCAUUUGCUGUGUCUUCAUCUGGUGUGUUUAUGUGGCUGGUGCUUGGUUUUCAUUAUUUUUAACUGCAUUUCAGAUCAUUUGCUCUAUGGUUUUGUUCACAUUCUCGUUUUCCACGAAAUUCUAAUAAAACACUUGGCUACAGAUUUCCUAAAUUGAAU